rnacentral:rRNA from 1 species
AGACGGGGGGUGCUAGCGUUGUUCGGAAUUACUGGGCGUAAAGGGCGCGUAGGCGGCUCUGCGAGUCGGGCGUGAAAUCCCGGGGCUCAACCCCGGAACGGCGCUCGAUACUGCGGGGCUGGAGACCGGAAGAGGAGGGUGGAAUUCCCAGUGUAGAGGUGAAAUUCGUAGAUAUUGGGAGGAACACCGGUGGCGAAAGCGGCUCUCUGGUCCGGUUCUGACGCUGAGGCGCGAAAGCGUGGGGAGCAAACAGGAUUAGAAACCCCAGUAGUCC